rnacentral:misc_RNA from 1 species
GAAUUGCGAUAUGUAAUGUGAAUUGCAGAAUUCAGUGAAUCAUCGAAUCUUUGAACGCACCUUGCGCCCUUUGGUAUUCCGAAGGGCAUGCCUGUUUGAGUGUCAUUAAAUUCUCAACUUCAAAAAUGUUUGUUUUUGAAGCUUGGACUUUGGAGGUUAUUGCCGGCAGUAACUUGUCAGCUCCUCUUAAAUGCAUUAGCGGAACUUUAUUAAGGACCAGCUUUGGUUUGAUAAUCCUAUCUAUGCCGUCGCUGUGGACUUUGCUUGUUCAGCUUCUAAUAGUCUUCGGACUGUCUCAUUUUUACGAGGCAUACACUUUUAAGCUUGACCUCAAAUCAGGUAGGACUACCCGCUGAACUUAA